rnacentral:tRNA from 1 species
GUCCCUGUAGCUCAGCUGGAUAGAGCAGGCCCGUCCUAAGGGCAAGAUCGGAGGUUCGACUCCUCUCAGGGACGCCA